rnacentral:lncRNA from 1 species
CGAGGGCACAUCAUUGACGACAAGCAGCUGCGACGACGGUUGGUUGUGUUGGCGGUGGUGUGGUGGUGGUGGUCCUUUCUUCUCACCCAUCUUCCUCUCUACUCUCAAUUGCCUUCUCUCCACUUUUAGCAGCCUUUCGAUGGCACAUCACUGACGACAAAAUAGUUGCAACCACUCUCUCCACUCUCUGUACCAUUGAGAUGACACACAGUUGCAACGGAC